GUCUUUUUGAAAAUAAUAUAAAGUCUAAUCUGCCCACUGAUUAAAUAAUUAAAGGGCUGCAGUAUAUUGACUGUACAAAGGUAGCAUAAUCAUUAGUCAUUUAAUUGAUGACUUGUAUGAAGGAUUUGAUGAGAUAUAAACUGUCUCUUAUUUAAUUAUAAAAUUUAAUUUUUUUAUUAAAAAGUUAAAAUAUCUUAAAAAGACGAGAAGACCCUAUAGAGUUUAAUAAAUUAUUAGAUUGAGAUUAUAUGUAAAACAAAUUUAAAAUAAAAUUAUUUAUUUUGUUGGGGUGACAAAAAAAUACAUUAAACUUUUUUUUAUUUUAAAACAUUUAUAAGUGAUUAAAUGAUCCAAUAAUAUUGAUUAUGAGAAAAAAUUACCUUAGGGAUAACAGCGUAAUUUUUUUUUUUAGUUCAAAUAAGAAAAAGAGUUUGCGACCUCGAUGUUGGAUUAAGAUAAAAUUUAAAUGUAGAAGUU
rnacentral:rRNA from 1 species